rnacentral:piRNA from 1 species
UCUAGAAUUUUGCGUAAGUACUGCUGC